CGAGAACCUGGCUGUGGAGGCUUCGGCCAAAGCAGUCGGGGGACAGCGGCGAACGGGGUAGUAAGGCGUCGNUAACGUGCCCCCAGGACUGGGAUAGCCGCGGGAAACUGCGGGUAAUACCGGAUGAUCUCGCAAGAGCAAAGGUCCGCCGCCUGGGGAGCGGCCGACGUGGUACUAGCUAGUUGGUGAGGUAACGGCUCACCAAGGCGAAGAUGCCUAGGGGGUGUGAGAGCAUGGCCCCCACCACUGGGACUGAGACACUGCCCAGACACCUACGGGUGGCUGCAGUCGAGAAUCUUCGGCAAUGGGCGCAAGCCUGACCGAGCGACGCCGCGUGCGGGAUGAAGGCCCUUGGGUUGUAAACCGCUGUCAGAGGGGAGGAAAGCCUUCGGGUUUGACCGAGCCUCAAAGGAAGCACGGGCUAAAGUUCGUGCCAGCAGCCGCGGUAAUACGAACUGUGCGAACGUUAUUNCGGAAUCACUGGGCUUACAGGGGGGCGUAGGCGGCCGACCAGGUCAA
rnacentral:rRNA from 1 species